rnacentral:ncRNA from 2 species
GCCGAACGACAGGGGAGCGUCGGGCCACGGCCCGGGCGCUGAGAGUGCGGACCACCGCAGACCCUCGAACCUGAUCCGGGUGAUACCGGCGUAGGGAGUCGGGCUUUCUCUCCU